GGUUCCAUAGUGUAGCAGCUAGCACGUCUGUUUUACACACAGAAAGUCUUGGGUUCGUGCCCCAGUGGAGCCA
rnacentral:tRNA from 1 species